GCCAGGCAUGGUGACGCAUGCCUGUAAUCUCAGCUACUUGGAAGCUGAGGCAGAAGAAUCACUUGAACCCAGGAAGUGGAGACUGCAGUGAGCCAAGAUCAUGCCACUGCACUCCAGCCUGGGUGACAGAGGGAGACUCUGUCUCAA
ensembl:misc_RNA Metazoa_SRP Metazoan signal recognition particle RNA